rnacentral:rRNA from 1 species
AUAGUUUGAUCCUGGCUCAGAACGAACGCUGGCGGCAGGCUUAACACAUGCAAGUCGAACGCGUGUAGCAAUACACGAGUGGCGCACGGGUGAGUAACGCGUGGAUAUCUGCCUUUUGGUUCGGAAUAACUCCGGGAAACUGGAGCUAAUACCGGAUGGUUCCUUCGGGAUAAAGAUUUAUCGCCAAAAGAUGAGUCCGCGUACGAUUAGCUAGUUGGUGAGGUAAUGGCUCACCAAGGCGACGAUCGUUAGCUGGUCUGAGAGGACGAUCAGCCACACUGGAACUGAGACACGGUCCAGACUCCUACGGGAGGCAGCAGUGAGGAAUCUUGCGCAAUGGGGGAAACCCUGACGCAGCAACGCCGCGUGAGUGAGGAAGGUCUUCGGAUCGUAAAGCUCUGUCGGAUGGAAAGAACCGCAUAGGGGUAAACAGCUCCUAUGUCUGACGGUACCAUCAAAGGAAGCACCGGCUAACUCCGUGCCAGCAGCCGCGGUAAUACGGGGGGUGCAAGCGUUGUUCGGAAUUAUUGGGCGUAAAGAGCGUGUAGGCGGCCUGAUGUGUCAGAUGUGAAAGCCCUGGGCUUAACCCAGGAAGUGCAUUUGAAACUGUCAGGCUUGAGUAGGGGAGAGGGAAGUGGAAUUCCUGGUGUAGAGGUGAAAUUCGUAGAUAUCAGGAGGAACACCGGUGGCGAAGGCGACUUCCUGGCCCUAUACUGACGCUGAGACGCGAGAGCGUGGGUAGCAAACAGGAUUAGAUACCCUGGUAGUCC